rnacentral:lncRNA from 1 species
AUAGUCGUUCGUGUUUUCUCCUCUCUCAUUCGUGUUUUCACCCUUCUCCAUCAUGUUUUCCGUGCGCUGUUUCUCGUGUUUUUUUCGCGCUGCUUCAUAUGCCCUAACUCCUCCUCCGCCUCACCUGCUUCAUAUGCCCUAACUCCUCCUCCGCCUCACCUGCUUCAAGCUUCUCUCUAUUCUUCUUCUAUUCUCCUUCUUCUCUACUUCUAUUUUCUGCUUUUCUAUCUUGUUCUCUAUCCUGUUAUUCUCUAUUCAUUAUUUUUCCAUUCGUUUCCUAAGUUGUUUUUUCUUUCAUAUCAUUGCUUUUUUUUUUUCUUUUUAAAUAUAUUGAUUAUGGGAUUGAUAUAGGUAGAUUAUUCAUAUAGUUAGUCCAUAACGUUGUUUAAUCUACAUUAAAUAUAUAGGUAGAUUAUUCAUAUAAUUAGUCAAAAAAGUUAUCCCGCUAUCUCAUUUUUGGGAUCGGCCGCUCCGCUCUGUUCUCCGGGAUUAAUAACUCUGUUAUAUUUGCAAACUAGAAAUACUCCUUCUGGUCCUAUUUAUAAGAAACAAUUUAUUUGUAAGUUAUAUUUUAUGUCUCUGCCAAAUGCCGGCGCACAAAGUCUUUACUUCUUGGUGUUUGUACUUUAAUUCGGAGGAAACCGUAAGUGUUAUUGCUAGAAUUUUUUCCCGUAUUCGCUUUUCCAGAACCAACGAUCUUUGU